rnacentral:rRNA from 2 species
GUGAGUAACACGUGGGCAACCUGCCUGUAAGACUGGGAUAACUUCGGGAAACCGAAGCUAAUACCGGAUAGGAUCUUCUCCUUCAUGGGAGAUGAUUGAAAGAUGGUUUCGGCUAUCACUUACAGAUGGGCCCGCGGUGCAUUAGCUAGUUGGUGAGGUAACGGCUCACCAAGGCAACGAUGCAUAGCCGACCUGAGAGGGUGAUCGGCCACACUGGGACUGAGACACGGCCCAGACUCCUACGGGAGGCAGCAGUAGGGAAUCUUCCGCAAUGGACGAAAGUCUGACGGAGCAACGCCGCGUGAGUGAUGAAGGCUUUCGGGUCGUAAAACUCUGUUGUUAGGGAAGAACAAGUACGAGAGUAACUGCUCGUACCUUGACGGUACCUAACCAGAAAGCCACGGCUAACUACGUGCCAGCAGCCGCGGUAAUACGUAGGUGGCAAGCGUUAUCCGGAAUUAUUGGGCGUAAAGCGCGCGCAGGCGGUUUCUUAAGUCUGAUGUGAAAGCCCACGGCUCAACCGUGGAGGGUCAUUGGAAACUGGGGAACUUGAGUGCAGAAGA